CAGGUAGGUAGACCUGCAUUUGGUUACUGGUCACAGAAAUGGAGAGUGAGAGAUAUUUCAAAGUCAGGAUGCCCUACUGGCAGACCCCCAAGUCCUCGAACUUCAGGGCAGAACUGCCUGGGUGGGAACUCUCCCAUGUCUCCUUGAUUUCACUGCCACCUCUGCUGGCGUCCUCUCUCAUCUCCGCCGCCAGCCCCCGCCUCCUUUCUCGGGAAGCUUGGGUCUCCCUGGGAGCGGGUCUGCCCUUAGGGGGAGGCCUCUGGGCUCUGUGCCCUGCAGCUCGGCAGACAUUCGAGGCGGACAGAAACGGGGCUUGGCGCCCCCCGCGUGCACGUGUGCUAGCCCAGGCAGGAGGGAGCGCCUCGGCGGAGGAGUCAAGGAAGAGGGGGAGGGAGAAACGCGCCAGAACCUCGGUCCCGGGCGCCCUCGUCGGCCGCGGAGGAGCUGCAGCCUCCAACAGGAAGGUGUGGUCCCUGCCAUGCUAUCUGCUCUGCUCAGCGACUGAAGGCGCCUGCAUCCCAGCUCUGCCAGGAAGCAAAGGUUGUCUCAUCUUCCCAAGCCAGGCCAGCCAGGAGCGCUGCAUGCAAAUUCUGCCGUGGGCUAGGGCACGCUAACCAGAGCCGGCGGCAUGGACUUCGUCAUGAAGCAGGCCCUGGGAGG
rnacentral:lncRNA from 1 species